rnacentral:rRNA from 1 species
UACGUAGGGUGCAAGCGUUAAUCGGAAUUACUGGGCGUAAAGCGUGCGCAGGCGGUUUUGUAAGUCAGAUGUGAAAUCCCCGGGCUUAACCUGGGAACUGCGUUUGAAACUACAAGGCUAGAGUGUGGCAGAGGGGGGUGGAAUUCCACGUGUAGCAGUGAAAUGCGUAGAGAUGUGGAGGAACACCGAUGGCGAAGGCAGCCCCCUGGGUUAACACUGACACUCAGGCACGAAAGCGUGGGGAGCAAACAGG